rnacentral:rRNA from 1 species
UACGCGUAAGAACUUGCCUCUUAGACCGGGACAACAUCUGGAAACGGAUGCUAAUACCGGAUAUUAUGGUUUCUUCGCAUGGAGGAAUCAUGAAAGCUACAUGCGCUAAGAGAGAGCUUUGCGUCCCAUUAGCUCGUUGGUGAGGUAACGGCCCACCAAGGCAAUGAUGGGUAGCCGGCCUGAGAGGGUGAACGGCCACAAGGGGACUGAGACACGGCCCUUACUCCUACGGGAGGCAGCAGUGGGGAAUAUUGGACAAUGGACCACAAGUCUGAUCCAGCAAUUCUGUGUGCACGAUGACGUUUUUCGGAAUGUAAAGUGCUUUCAGUCGGGAAGAAGUCAGUGACGGUACCGACAGAAGAAGCGACGGCUAAAUACGUGCCAGCAGCCGCGGUAAUACGUAUGUCGCAAGCGUUAUCCGGAUUUAUUGGGCGUAAAGCGCGUCUAGGCGGCAAGGAAAGUCUGAUGUGAAAAUGCGGAGCUCAACUCCGUAUGGCGUUGGAAACUGCCUUACUAGAGUACUGGAGAGGUAGGCGGAACUACAAGUGUAGAGGUGAAAUUCGUAGAUAUUUGUAGGAAUGCCGAUGGGGAAGCCAGCCUACUGGACAGAUACUGACGCUAAAGCGCGAAAGCGUGGGUAGCAAACAGGAUUAGAUACCCUGGUAGUCCACGCUGUAAACGAUGAUUACU